rnacentral:rRNA from 1 species
GACAGAGGGUGCAAACGUUGUUCGGAAUUACUGGGCGUAAGGCGAGUGUAGGCGGUCUGUAAAGUCGGGUGUGAAAGCCCCGGGCUCAACCCGGGAAGUGCACUCGAAACUCACAGGCUAGAGUAUCGGAGAGGUUGGUGGAAUUCUCGGUGUAGAGGUGAAAUUCGUAGAUAUCGAGAGGAACACCGGUGGCGAAGGCGGCCAACUGGACGAAUACUGACGCUGAGACUCGAAAGCGUGGGGAGCAAACAGG